rnacentral:rRNA from 1 species
GGUCAAGUUAUUAAGGGUGCAGGGCGGAUGCCUUGGCACUAGGAGCCGAUGAAGGACGCGAUAAGCUGCGAUAAGCUUCGGGGAGUUGCACGUAAACUUUGAUCCGAAGAUUUCCGAAUGAGGAAACUCACUUAGAGUAAUGUCUAAGUAUCAUUAAGUGAAUACAUAGCUUAAUGAGGGGAACUCAGGGAACUGAAACAUCUAAGUACCUGAAGGAAGAGAAAGAAAUUCGAUUCCGUAAGUAGCGGCGAGCGAACGCGGAAUAGCCCAAACCAAUAAAGUUUUCUUUAUUGGGGUUGCGGACAUAUCUUAAACGAAGAGGUAUCGUAAUUGAAGAGGUUUGGAAAGACCCACCACAGAAGGUAAUAGUCCUGUAUGUCAAACGAGAAA